rnacentral:rRNA from 1 species
AGAGUUUGAUCAUGGCUCAGGACGAACGCUGGCGGCGUGCCUAAUACAUGCAAGUAGAACGCUGACUACUUUAGCUUGCUAGAGUAGAAGGAGUUGCGAACGGGUGAGUAACGCGUAGGUAACCUGCCUACUAGCGGGGGAUAACUAUUGGAAACGAUAGCUAAUACCGCAUAACAGUGUUUAACACAUGUUAGAUGCUUGAAAGAUGCAAAUGCAUCACUAGUAGAUGGACCUGCGUUGUAUUAGCUAGUUGGUGGGGUAACGGCCUACCAAGGCGACGAUACAUAGCCGACCUGAGAGGGUGAUCGGCCACACUGGGACUGAGACACGGCCCAGACUCCUACGGGAGGCAGCAGUAGGGAAUCUUCGGCAAUGGGGGCAACCCUGACCGAGCAACGCCGCGUGAGUGAAGAAGGUUUUCGGAUCGUAAAGCUCUGUUGUAAGAGAAGAACGUGUGUGAGAGUGGAAAGUUCACACAGUGACGGUAACUUACCAGAAAGGGACGGCUAACUACGUGCCAGCAGCCGCGGUAAUACGUAGGUCCCGAGCGUUGUCCGGAUUUAUUGGGCGUAAAGCGAGCGCAGGCGGUUUAAUAAGUCUGAAGUUAAAGGCAGUGGCUUAACCAUUGUUCGCUUUGGAAACUGUUAAACUUGAGUGCAGAAGGGGAGAGUGGAAUUCCAUGUGUAGCGGUGAAAUGCGUAGAUAUAUGGAGGAACACCGGUGGCGAAAGCGGCUCUCUGGUCUGUAACUGACGCUGAGGCUCGAAAGCGUGGGGAGCAAACAGGAUUAGAUACCCUGGUAGUCCACGCCGUAAACGAUGAGUGCCAGGUGUUAGGCCCUUUCCGGGGCUUAGUGCCGCAGCUAACGCAUUAAGCACUCCGCCUGGGGAGUA